AUAUGGACGCUCCAGUUGACCAGUGGGACUUGCCGCUUAUUGAAUUAAUUUUAUCAAAAAUUAGCACAACUACUGCCUGGCAUUGGGAACUAUCAUUAACUGAUAAAUCCAUGCCAUCUUACACGCAUUUGACAGACUUUUUAGAGAAGCGAGCAAACUGUACAGAUUUUAAUGUAUCGGAUCAACUUAAGCAAAAUAAUCCACGUAAUGAUAAUCUAAGAUACAAGAAAUCUAAUUCCUCUGGCAAUCAAGCAUUCAUGACGUCUAAUCCCUCACUAAAUUCUUCGAAGAAAUCAGCUUCAUGUGUUGUUUGCUCUCAAGAACACCCAGUAUAUCGUUGCGCGACUUUUCGACAGCUGUCAGUUGAAGAACGACGAAAAAUGGCCACUAAUCUCUCAUUAUGUUUUAAUUGUCUUGGUCAAAGACACGGAAUGCGCGAAUGCUUAUCUAAAAGUACUUGUCGCGAAUGCAACGCCCGUCAUCAUACCCUCUUACAUCAAUCUCAAGCCAGGAAUUCAACGAUAAAUAAAGAAACAAUUGAACAAACAAAUUCCAAUAAUAUACACGAAAUGCAAUCGUCCUCGAAGGCAGGACUAGAACCACGGAAAACAUCCAUAUCGCGACCAGUCGCCUUUGUAGUUAAUGCAUCUUUAGGCACAUUAAUGGUUACUGCAAAAAUUAAUGCAAACAACAUAAGGAAUAAACCCGUAGAAUGUCGUACUCUCAUCGAUACAUGCGCGACAUCAAAUUUUAUAACCGAAGAAUUCGCCAGAAAACUUGGACUCCAACGUCGAGAAUGUUACAUACCAAUCGGCGUUCUGAACGAUCGGGCCACGGUCUCAAAAGGCACAAUCUCAACAACCAUAUCAUCACGAACUACUGGUUAUAAUCGACUUGCAACAUUUCUAAUUGUUCAAACCAUUUCUAACUUCGUUCCACAAGAUCCAAUACAGAGGAAUCAAAUAAAAAUCCCAAAAAACAUUCAGCUCGCUGAUCCCGAAUUUCAUAAGGUUGCUCCAGUUGACAUGCUUUUGGGCACCGGCAUCGCACUGUCGUUAUUAUCAGUAGGACAAAUCGAUUUAUCGCCAGAAGGUGGACCAGAAUUGUUUUUACAAAAGACCAAAGUCGGAUGGGUAAUCGGGGGGAGUGCACCUGCUGCACGACCGUCACGUACACGUCAUUGUCAUUUAACGUCGGAGCUUCAAUUUGACAUAUCGAAAUUUUGGGAGAUCGAGGAAACUCCAAGUACAAUAGCAAUACCAGAAACGGACUGCGAAGCGCAUUUUUUGAAUAAUUUUCAACGACGUGAGGAUGGACGAUAUACUGUAGCAUUACCAUUCAACGACAAACAAUUCAAAAUCGGCGAAUCGUUAUCUAUGGCCCGCAAACGAUUACAAGGCUUACAACGAAAACUAGCAUCAAAUACAGAACUAAAUAAAGAAUACCAUAAUGUUUUGAAUGAGUAUAUAGAACUCGGCCAUUUAUCAGCAAUAGACGAACCUGAAGCAAGAGAAUCCGGAUUUUACCUGCCCCAUCAUGCCGUCACAAAACCAGGUAGUCUCACUACGGCUGUACGAGUUGUAUUUGACGGAUCCGCAAAGAGCUCUACAGGAAUAUCACUGAACGACACAUUAAUGGUCGGCCCAACGAUUCAGCCUGAAUUAAUGACACUUUUAUUACGCUUUCGAAAAUACCCUAUAGUUAUCACCGGAGACAUAGAGAAAAUGUAUCGCCAAUUUUACAUAAGGGAAGAUGAUCGCAAGUAUCAACGAAUUUUGUGGACGAACUCAAAGGGUGAAAUCCAAACUUAUGAAUUAAACACCGUAACCUUUGGAUUGUCGUGUGCACCAUAUCUAGCCAUUCGUUGUCUCCAUCAACUAGGUCGCGAUGAACAAGACAAUUAUCCAUUAGCCUCAAAAGUUGUACAAUCAGAUUUUUACGUCGAUGAUCUAUUAACAGGGGCAAACAAUAUAGAUGACGUUUUGCACAUACGAGAUCAACUGACUAAACUUCUCGAGUGCGGUGGUUUGAAAAUCAGGCAGUGGGCAUCUAACAAUCCAAAAGCACUAGAAGGACUGCCAACAGAAAGCAUAAAUAAACAUUUGCUUUUGCAAGACACAUCGACCAUAAAAACCCUCGGUAUCAAGUGGGACUCCUCUCACGACACCAUAGUCUACACCGUCAAUCCCACUCAUAUUCCUGAAAAAACAACAAAAAGAGCAAUAAUGUCUGUCAUCGCUCGUAUUUUUGAUCCUCUCGGUCUAUUGGCUCCUGUCGUCAUUACUGCAAAGAUAGUUAUGCAAAAGUUAUGGGCAUUAAAACUCGAUUGGGAUGAGUCACUCCCAACUGAUCUCCAUACAGAAUGGAAUCACUACUAUCAGCAAUUAUCGGAAUUGAAUAAUAUACACUUUAACAGACUCACAACCAUCAAAAAUUCCGUCAACAUUGAGCUCCAUGGGUUUUGUGACGCAAGUCAAAGGGCCUACGGAGCAUGUGUAUACGUAAAAUCUUGGAACAAAACAGGAAAAUCAAAGGUUACCCUUCUUUGCGCAAAAUCACGAGUAUCACCAUUAAAAGCAACAACUAUUCCCCGCUUAGAACUGUGCGGAGCACAACUACUUGCUAAUUUGAUCACAUACGUGAAAGAAGCACUGCAACUGAAUUUACAAAAAAUUAUUUGCUGGACAGACUCGACAAUUGUAUUACAUUGGUUAAAAACUCAUCCACAAAAUUUGAAAACCUUUGUUGCAAACCGCAUCGCUUCAAUCCAAGAAAAGGCAGAUAUCCACGAAUGGAGGCACAUAAAAACACAUGAAAAUCCUGCCGAUUUAAUUUCCAGAGGGGUGUUACCUGCACAAUUUGGUAGUAGAACAUCGUCAAAAUUUACACGCAGGCGUACAAGCCACUUUAUAUGCACUGCGACGACAGUAUUGGAUUUUAGAUGGUCGGAAUCAAGUCCGAAAAAUAAUUCGACGUUGCAUCACUUGCUGCAAAUCGCAACCUGUAUCCAUAGAAUAUUUAAUGGGCGACUUACCUGCUUCGAGAGUAACCCCAGCCCGACCCUUCAGCAGAGUAGGUAUCGACUAUUGCGGACCUUUUUUCAUUAAAGAAAAGAAGUUGCGUAAUAGAAACAAGGUAAAGGUCUACGUAGCCAUAUUUAUAUGCUUCACCACCAAGGCGGUACAUAUUGAAGUAGUUAGCGAUCUAUCAACAGAUGCAUUUUUAGCAGCCCUGAAAAGAUUUAUUGCACGACGAGGAAUUUGCACCGACAUUUAUACAGACAAUGCCACAAACUUUGUGGGAGGACACAAUGAAAUCAAGGAAUUAUAUGCAUUACUGAAUGACACUAAACAUCAGCAAAAACUUAAUCGAUACUGUAAUCAAAAGGAAAUAAAAUGGCACUUUAUACCAGCACGAGCUCCCAACUUCGGUGGUCUCUGGGAAGCCGCAGUCAAAUCAUUCAAACACCAUCUCCGUCGCAUUAUCGGCAAUACUUUAUUAACGUUCGAGGAAUUAACUACUCUAACCACUGAAAUUGAAGCUAUUUUGAAUUCUCGCCCUCUGACACCUAUUUCCUCCGACCCCAACGAUUUAUCAGUUCUCACACCUGCUCAUUUCCUUAUUGGCGAUUCAUUAACGAGCUUGCCUAGUCAGGAUUUUUCAGAAGUUUCAGUUAAUAGAUUGUCAACCUGGGAGCACAUACAACAGAUGCGUCAACAUUUUUGGUCCCGAUGGUCAAAAGAAUACCUAAAUGAAUUGACUACACGCCAUAAAUGGAAAAAACAACUUCCAAACCUCGAAAUUGGGACACUUGUCUUACUAAAAGAAGACAACCUCCCUCCACUUCAAUGGAGUCUGGGAAAGAUAACAGCUACUUAUCCAGGUGAUGACGGUAUUGUAAGAGUCGUCAGAAUCAAAACCGCCAAGGGGGAAUAUGACCGCAGCGUGCAAAAGGUAGCACCACUGCCAAUUCAACAGGCUGAAGAUAAAUUUAUCAAGUCCAUUGAAGCAUCAUAAUAUUUAUUUUCUUCAUUUUCUAAUUUUGUUUUAAUUCAAAUUCAAUAUGUUAUUUUUAAUCUAAAUUAAUAUAGCUAGCGAAUCUAUUGUAACUAUUGAACAUCUACUAUUUGAUCGGCAUUUGCCUCUCAACGGGGGGAGUAUGUUCAGUUUAACGAAUCUUUUUUCAAAACUUUUCAACGUUCAAAAUAGCCUCACUAUUCACCCGCAGGUAAUUUUUGUCGAGACCCUUCACUAACCAUUUUUAUGACGGUCCGGCAAGUUCGAAUUCUCAGUAAUUCCUUGAAUGAUUUGUUGCUCUAUUUUGUGUCUUUAAGGGCUAUUUUUGCUCGUACAUUUCGUAUUAGUCUUUUUUUGUUUACCGAAAACCUAAAAUGCUUUCCUCUAAAAGCAGUCGUUCAUUGUCACUCGCACAAAACAGCAUCUCAACAAACAUACUCUCCGCGGGAUAUAACAUAUUUUGUACGCGUAUUUUUUCAACAAUUAAUUUUAUUUUAUUGACAUAGUGUAUUUUUAAAAUUAUUUAAUAAAGUUCAGUGUUAUUGUUAGUGAAGAAAUAGUGCGUUAUUUUAUCCGUAACAAUUUUCAACCUAUAAACUAUAAACUACCUAUAAUCACUUAAUUGGAAUUAUAGGCAAUUGAUAACAACUCAAUUCCACACCGAGUUACGUUCAUCAAUUAACAGUAUUCAACAACAUAACAACUUCCGAGAAUUAAAAAAAACUUACAAAAUGAAUGAAACCAUCUUUGCGGCGUGGACAUCUUACUAAAGUUUCAUCGCAA